rnacentral:rRNA from 1 species
AUUGAACGCUGGCGGCAGGCCUAACACAUGCAAGUCGAACGAGUGGCGGACGGGUGAGUAAUGUCUGGGAAACUGCCCGAUGGAGGGGGAUAACUACUGGAAACGGUAGCUAAUACCGCAUACCAUCGGAUGUGCCCAGAUGGGAUUAGCUUGUAGGUGAGGUAACGGCUCACCUAGGCGACGAUCCCUAGCUGGUCGGAGAGGAUGACCAGCCAAACUGGAACUGUGACACGGUCCAGACUCCUACGGGAGGCAGAAGGGGGGAAUAGUGAACAAUGGGCGCAAUCCUGAUGCAGCCAUGCCGCGUGUAUGAAGAAGGCCGUCUGGUUGUAAAGUCUUUUCAGCGGGGAGGCUUUUCCCGCAGAAGAAUCACCGGCUAACUCCGUGCCAGCAGCCGCGGUAAUAC